rnacentral:rRNA from 1 species
CCUACGGGAGGCAGCAGUGGGGAAUAUUGGGCAAUGGGCGCAAGUCUGACCCAGCAACGCCGCGUGAAGGAAGACGGCUUUCGGGUUGUAAACCUCUUUUGACAGGGAAGAGCAGCAGACGGUACCUGUCGAAUAAGCCACGGCUAACUACGUGCCAGCAGCAGCCGUAAUACGCAGGUGGCAAGCGUUGUCCGGAUUUACUGGGUGUAAAGGGCGUGUAGCCGGGCUGACAAGUCAGUUGUGAAAUCGGGGGGCUCAACCCCCGAACUGCAUUUGAAACUGUUGGUCUUGAGUAUCGGAGAGGCAGGCGGAAUUCGUGGUGUAGCGGUGGAAUGCAUAGAUAUUAGGAGGAACA